CGUCUUGGCAGCACCUCACUCUCCAGCCGUCUUAUCGUCGGUAGUAGAUUUUAUCUUCUAGGAAGAACAGAACUAUGUCACUUAUUUGAAUGAAUCUCCAGCAGCCACAUGAAAGUGAAGAAAUAAAGAGUAACGGCAAAGAAGCGGCAAACAAAUCACAGAAUCUAAGAAUUACUUAGUUAAGAGGAGACCUCCUGAGACUGUCUAUUCCAAUAUGCUUGCUUAAGCAGUAUCAACAAGAAUAUGUUGUUGGCAGGACCGUGCAGGACUGCACAGAUUUUCCAGGCAACCUGUUUGAGUGUCUGACUAUCUUCAUGGUAAAUAAAGGUUUUUUUAUGUGCUCAA